ensembl:lncRNA
UCCAGAUCCAAAACAGAGCUCUCAGGCGCUCAACGUUCUGUGGACCUUGCUUCCUCCAGAGGUGGCUGGGGACAGGUGCACCGAUCCACCAUGAACCAGAUUCAGGGAAAAAAAAAACCCACUGUUAGUUCUGCUGUUUGUACAAGACUGCGUUUGAUGGACCGAAGGCUUGACUCCUGUCUCGGAGACUCUCAAGGGCUAGCAAAAUAUACCCUGCUAAGAACAAAUUUUAGAUGUGAAGAUACGAAUGAAAUUGAAGGCGAGAUGAUGAGAUGAAACCUUGGCAUCAUUCGAACAAUAACCAAGAGAGACGAAAUACUGAGAUAUCAGCCAACAAUUUCCAUAUACUUUUCAUUGCUCCGCUGAGAAUUUAAUAUAUGCACACAAUGUAUUUUGAGGCUUCUUAAUCCCUUCAAUCCUUCUGGAUCCAUCCCUCUUCCCCACUUCAUGCCCAUUUAAUCCAAAUUUUGUCCCCGGUAUAAGCACAGUAUGGGG